ACCACACGUAGCAAAUAAGCCAUGAAAUGUUUUGUUAACCCAAUUCGACACUCUCAUUAACCUCCAUACAAAAACUCCUCGCUUGGUGAGCAAAAAAAAAACGCCACCUGAUGGAGAAGACAGAUUUUGGGCCGGGUUAUCCGAGAGGGGUCCAGCUGCGACAUCAGCUCUCAGGGCAGUCAUCUUUCAGGGUCUGUAUGCUGCCAGCUACGAAUAUGUCAUCGCUCAGUACACUGCAUCGCUCAGGUAAAGUGGGGUUUCGAAAGGUGCCAAUCAAGACGUCGUUUGGGUUAUCGGACGUUAGGCAUGGUCUGCAGAGAUGACAGUAAAAAAAAAUUAUAUUCACUAAUUUUGAGCUGUGUCUUUGAACGUUACCUAUCGGUAACGCUAGCCAUGUAUGUAACGUUACGUUUUUCGUAAAUGGAAACGCUAGCUAAUCUUAGCUACCUUCACUUAUAAAAAAUGCAUUCAUUUUACAAUAUUUUAUUUAUGGUCGAAUAUUUGAAAUAAUACUAAUAAUUGAAAUAUCAAGUCAUGGCGGUUCUAGUAGUUAUCUUCCAGUGCUUCUAGUGUUAAAAUACUCCUUUUGAAAUCCCCACUUCUCCUUAUAUGGUUCCUUUCUAAACGCCCAAACCUUUCGACACCCCCAUUUUUCCCGAGGGAUGACUGCUCUGAGAGAUGACAUAUCAGUAGGUGGCAGCAUAGAGACCCUGAGGGAUGACUGCUCUGAGAGAUGACAUAUCAGUAGGUGGCAGCAUAGAGACCCUGAGGGAUGACUGCUCUGAGAGAUGACAUAUCAGUAGGUGGCAGCAUAGAGACCCUGAGGGAUGACUGCUCUGAGAGAUGAUGUCACAGCUGAACCCUUUUGGAGAAUCCCUCUUGCUUUGCCUCUUCCUCCCUUACGAAGCAUUAUACGUGUCUAUACCUCGAUUGUAAAAUGUAAAAUUCAACUAACAACUGGACAAGGCAAUGCCGAAAAAUAGUGAUUAUUGGAAGACUGGAACGAGAACCGGAAGUGACGACUGCUAAGGGGAGGAGAGUGGACGAUUGUGGCGUACUUUCAUCACUUCUCACCUGGGGAGCUGUGUGACCGGGACAUCAAAAUAAUUAGGCUGAACCUGCUGAACUCAAUACUCACUGCAGUAAACAGAUAUCAGCUUGAAGAAUGAAUGAAUAUAACUCUAGUCCUGUCAUAUGUUGAUUGUGUUGCAUUGCUCUUCAGCUAUCAAAUAUGACCUUCAUACUAUAGCAUGUCAGUCCAGCACUGACCAAACCCUGUAAUAAUAUUCCCAGCUGUAUUAGAAACAUAAAAGCAUAUUUCAACACCAUUUAGACUUAAGGUGGGAAAAAAUGAAACAAAACUCUUGAUUUUUUUUCUCUCAAAAUCAUUUAUUUACUAUAAUACAUAGCAGAUGUUAAAAUCUUAAGAGUUUGUACACUGGCUUGAAUGAGGCAGAUCUUAUGAACAAAUAAAGUUGCUUUUUAUUGAAACUACACAAAA